rnacentral:rRNA from 1 species
AGUGAACGCUGGCGGUAGGCCUAACACAUGCAAGUCGAACGGCAGCACAGUAAGAGCUUGCUCUUACGGGUGGCGAGUGGCGGACGGGUGAGGAAUACAUCGGAAUCUACUUUUUCGUGGGGGAUAACGUAGGGAAACUUACGCUAAUACCGCAUACGACCUACGGGUGAAAGCAGGGGAUCUUCGGACCUUGCGCGAUUGAAUGAGCCGAUGUCGGAUUAGCUAGUUGGCGGGGUAAAGGCCCACCAAGGCGACGAUCCGUAGCUGGUCUGAGAGGAUGAUCAGCCACACUCGAACUGAGACACGGUCCAGACUCCUACGGGAGGCAGCAGUGGGGAAUAUUGGACAAUGGGCGCAAGCCUGAUCCAGCCAUACCGCGUGGGUGAAGAAGGCCUUCGGGUUGUAAAGCCCUUUUGUUGGGAAAGAAAAGCAGCAGGUUAAUACCCCGCUGUUCUGACGGUACCCAAAGAAUAAGCACCGGCUAACUUCGUG